rnacentral:rRNA from 1 species
GACCUCGUGUCGGGAGAGACCUACCCGCCAAAUUUAAGCAUAUUAAUAAGCGGAGGAAAAGAAACCAACAGGGAUUCCCUUAGUAAGGGCGACUGAACGGGGAAGAGCCUAGCGCAUAACCUCGUGUCUUAACCGGCACGAGGGGUGUUGCGUUUCGGAGGGUCCGGCACGCCGUCCCAUACCGCCUAAGUCAAGCUUGAAAGCGGCCACUACCCAUGGAGGGUGACAGGCCCGUGUGGCGGCGCCCGCGAGGGCAUAGAUGGGGCGGUCGGAAAGGGCCUCUCUGUAGAGUCGGGUUGCUUAAUAAUGCAGCCCAAAGCAGGUGGUAAACUCCAUCUAAGGCUAAAUA